rnacentral:rRNA from 1 species
UCAUGGCUCAGAUUGAACGCUGGCGGCAUGCCUUACACAUGCAAGUCGAACGGCAGCACGGACUUCGGUCUGGUGGCGAGUGGCGAACGGGUGAGUAAUGUAUCGGAACGUACCUUUCAGUGGGGGAUAACGUAGCGAAAGUUACGCUAAUACCGCAUAUUCUGUGAGCAGGAAAGCAGGGGAUCGCAAGACCUUGCGCUGAUUGAGCGGCCGAUAUCAGAUUAGCUAGUUGGUGAGGUAAAGGCUCACCAAGGCGACGAUCUGUAGCGGGUCUGAGAGGAUGAUCCGCCACACUGGAACUGAGACACGGUCCAGACUCCUACGGGAGGCAGCAGUGGGGAAUUUUGGACAAUGGGGGCAACCCUGAUCCAGCCAUGCCGCGUGAGUGAAGAAGGCCUUCGGGUUGUAAAGCUCUUUCGGCCGGGAAGAAAUCGCAUAGGUUAAUACCCUGUGUGGAUGACGGUACCGGAAUAAGAAGCACCGGCUAACUACGUGCCAGCAGCCGCGGUAAUACGUAGGGUGCGAGCGUUAAUCGGAAUUACUGGGCGUAAAGCGUGCGCAGGCGGUUUCGUAAGACAGAGGUGAAAUCCCCGGGCUCAACCUGGGAACUGCCUUUGUGACUGCGAAGCUAGAGUACGGCAGAGGGGGGUGGAAUUCCACGUGUAGCAGUGAAAUGCGUAGAGAUGUGGAGGAACACCAAUGGCGAAGGCAGCCCCCUGGGUCGAUACUGACGCUCAUGCACGAAAGCGUGGGUAGCAAACAGGAUUAGAUACCCUGGUAGUCCACGCCCUAAACGAUGUCAACUAGGUGUUGGGUGGGUAAAACCAUUUAGUACCGGAGCUAACGCGUGAAGUUGACCGCCUGGGGAGUACGGCCGCAAGGUUAAAACUCAAAGGAAUUGACGGGGACCCGCACAAGCGGUGGAUGAUGUGGAUUAAUUCGAUGCAACGCGAAAAACCUUACCUACCCUUGACAUGUCCAGAAGCCCGAAGAGAUUUGGGUGUGCCCGAAAGGGAGCUGGAACACAGGUGCUGCAUGGCUGUCGUCAGCUCGUGUCGUGAGAUGUUGGGUUAAGUCCCGCAACGAGCGCAACCCUUGUCGUUAAUUGCCAUCAUUUAGUUGGGCACUUUAACGAGACUGCCGGUGACAAACCGGAGGAAGGUGGGGAUGACGUCAAGUCCUCAUGGCCCUUAUGGGUAGGGCUUCACACGUCAUACAAUGGUCGGUACAGAGGGUUGCCAAGCCGCGAGGUGGAGCCAAUCCCAGAAAGCCGAUCGUAGUCCGGAUCGUAGGCUGCAACUCGCCUGCGUGAAGUCGGAAUCGCUAGUAAUCGCGGAUCAGCAUGUCGCGGUGAAUACGUUCCCGGGUCUUGUACACACCGCCCGUCACACCAUGGGAGCGGGUUCCGCCAGAAGUAGGUAG